rnacentral:rRNA from 1 species
GAGUUUGAUCAUGGCUCAGAACGAACGCUGGCGGCAUGCCUAACACAUGCAAGUCGAACGAAGGCUUCGGCCUUAGUGGCGCACGGGUGCGUAACGCGUGGGAACCUGCCCCUUGGUUCGGAAUAACAGUUAGAAAUGACUGCUAAUACCGGAUGAUGACGAAAGUCCAAAGAUUUAUCGCCGAGGGAUGGGCCCGCGUAGGAUUAGCUAGUUGGUGGGGUAAUGGCCCACCAAGGCGACGAUCCUUAGCUGGUCUGAGAGGAUGAUCAGCCACACUGGGACUGAGACACGGCCCAGACUCCUACGGGAGGCAGCAGUGGGGAAUAUUGGACAAUGGGCGAAAGCCUGAUCCAGCAAUGCCGCGUGAGUGAUGAAGGCCUUAGGGUUGUAAAGCUCUUUUACCCGGGAUGAUAAUGACAGUACCGGGAGAAUAAGCUACCGGCUAACUCCGUGCCAGCAGCCGCCGUAAU